GAGGGUAUAGCUCAGUGGUAGAGCACAUGCUUAGCAUGCGUGAGGUCCUGGAUCCAAUCCCCAGUACCCCCA
rnacentral:tRNA from 1 species